rnacentral:rRNA from 1 species
GAUGAACGCUAGCGGCAGGCUUAAUACAUGCAAGUCGAGGGGCAGCGGGUGUAGUAAUACAUGCCGGCGACCGGCGCACGGGUGCGUAACGCGUAUGUAACCUACCUUUAACUGGAGGAUAGCCCCGAGAAAUCGGGAUUAAUACUCCAUAAAAUUAUGAAAAGGCAUCUUUUAUAAUUAAAGCUCCGGCGGUUUUAGAUGGGCAUGCGUGACAUUAGCUAGUUGGUGAGGUAACGGCUCACCAAGGCUCCGAUGUCUAGGGGUUCUGAGAGGAUUAACCCCCACACUGGUACUGAGACACGGACCAGACUCCUACGGGAGGCAGCAGUGAGGAAUAUUGGUCAAUGGACGCAAGUCUGAACCAGCCAUGCCGCGUGCAGGAUGACGGCCCUAUGGGUUGUAAACUGCUUUUCCACGGGAAGAACCCUCCGACGUGUCGGAGACUGACGGUACCGUGGGAAUAAGCAUCGGCUAACUCCGUG